CGCAGGGUGAUGCUGAUCAGUUGGGGGUAGUUGAGGGAUAAAAAAGAUUGACAUCAUGACACGUUGUCGCACAUUACUCCGGUAGUCUUUUUUUUUUUUUUAAGGAAUUUUUCGGCACUAGUUUAUUUCACAGCAAUCUGACUGUAAGGGGGCAGAGAGAGCGGAGCAGGGGGAGAGAGGCAUGGGCCCAGCGAAUGGAGGACGGCAGUCGGACUCCUGACUACCGCGGGCUAAAGUCUCUGGAGCCUAUGCUGUAAUUUACAGAUUGUCUUUGUUAAAUUAUUUACAUUUUUAUACAAUUUGAGCUUUCUGACGAACUCACCUAGUCCACCUUCUUUCAUUUCCUUGGAAAAAUCUGUUUAGUCAUGUGAUUGUGACUAGUCGACUAGCCCAGAAAAAAAUCAUUGCAGAAAAAAGAAUCGACUAGUCGACUAAUUGGUGCAACCCCUAGUCAGCACCUCAGACAGCUGAUGUGAACAGUCUCUCAGUACUCGUCCUGGGAUGUUGUCGGGGCCUGCAGCCUUUCGGGGGUUGAUUUCCUGGAGGGACUUCUUCACAUAUGCUGUUGUCACACAGAGAGGCGUGUCACCAGGUGGUGGAAUUACUCUG